rnacentral:lncRNA from 10 species
CUUCUCAGUCAGAUCCACACUGGAGAUUCCUUUAAAGAUAACAGUGAACUGAGUGAAUACUUACUUGCUGGCGUGGGAGAGAAAAUUGCAUGCAGAAGUUGGAAAACUCAGGACAGAAAACUCCAGGAUAAGUCGGGAGUCAGCGAUAUGGAGUAAAUCCAUCACUAGGAGAACACCUUUCUCUUCCAGAAUUGCUGAUGAAUCAUUAGGUAAAGCCGGGGCCACCGGCAGAGUGGCCUUCUGGCAGAUGGCUGGGGCUUGGGAAAUGCACAUCUUCUCUCGGCUCAGCUAUGUGGUUCUUCUUUCUUCAAGAAGCCAAAGUACUGGGUGUACCCCACAAAGUCACAACUGGGCACAGACGGGAAAGGCUGGCUGUCAGCACCUUGCUGGCCAUGGUCGUGGACCCCAGAGUGAGCUGACAAAGCAGUCAGUCCAAGCAUGGCUGCAGGAGCGCCAGAAGGCGCUGGGUGCUAACACUUAGGAGGCAGCAUGGACAGUGGAGGGCUAUAGAGGAGGCCCCACAUGAGGGACAGAAUGAGGGUCCACUGGCUGCCUGCACUGCCUGAUGCUCCUGCUAUGGCGGCAGAAGGCCAGGCCCCUAGCAGGGCUGCUGCUGUGUGGAUUCUGAUGCCACUAAUGACUUAUCGUGCAUCUGGGCCUCUGACUCUGGGUGCCUCUUAGGGCUGAGAUAAGGAUGAGGGGAGAGAACAAAUGGGAAAUGCCCAGGCUCACUCUCAGCACCAAGUGGUCUGUGCAGCCCAGGAGCCUGGAGGCAAGCCCUCGCAGGAGCCCAAGGGAUCCAAACUGAAGCACUGUUUUCUGACAUCUAGUAUUUAAACCUAACAUUUUGCAUGAAUUUAUUUUCCACCACACGCUUGUAUGAAUAAAAACAGAUGACUUCCCCUCCUAAUUAAGCAGAACUGACAUGUACUGGUGGCUCCUGGCCCAUGGCCCACACUGAGGAGGAACAACAAUAACGUUAGCAUGAAAGGUGAUAAUUGGUCCUUUUAGAAAGCUGUGGAAGUGGGCACUGGAAGACGUGUUUGCCUCAGCUGCAGAUGGGUGCGACAUAUCAAGGGAGCCCUCCUGGCCCGUCCUGCCCUGUACCAAGUUUCACCUGAUGCUCACUCUCCCACAUCUUCUGCUUCAGGAAAGCCCAGCAUGCCUCGGUCUGGGAAGGCAGCCUAUUAUUCCAGCCCCAUAACCUCUCCUCUUGCCACUCCAUGUCCCCACCCACUCCCACCUGGACACUUACAGGACUCCAGCACUGCCUCCUCCAAGAAGCCUUCCUGGACUCCGUCAGCCCACAUUGGGCUUGUUAACACUGAUUAUCUGAAAAAUUUGGGGUAUCACCUCAUGACAUGCUGUGCUAUAUUCCAUCACCACCUUGCCCAAGACUCACAAGCAGCAGGUGACAGUCCAGAUUCAAAUCUGGGUGUGCCUGGCUGAGCACCCAUGGCUUCUCUGCAGACUUAGCCCCAGCUGCAGCCCCCUGUCUGCCCCAUCUGUUUCAUCAUCUCCUCACCCAGUUUCUGGGUGCUCCUGAUAAUGUUCUGUUUGUUAGGCUGGGCCCUGAGAAGGUACCCAGAAAGCCUUAAGCAUUCAUGGAAAUGAGCCCACAGGCUGUGUGAUCCAGCAGACAAGCUGAUCGAGCACGAGAGUGGUCCACAAGAGCAGCCGUGGCACAGCCAGGCUUUAACCUCCUUGUGCUUGGGCUCGUGCUCCGCUGAACCAUGGAAGUCUUGUGAUAGAAGAACACUGAGCUGCAGUCAAUGUGGGGCUGCCUGGUUUCCCUUUGCCCUCAGGGGAACAGAUAAUCUGGAGAAGCAAGAAUGAAGAAAGCAGCCUUAUAAACAAACCAGAAGAAUUAAGAGUGAGGACAGCUCUACCCAGCCCGGCUGGCAGCUGGCCACACUGCAAACCUGCUUGUGGGAAAGCUGGUUUUUGGGGUGCAAAAGAAAAAUACUAAAAUCAGCUUUCUGGUGUGGAAACUCAGGCAAGUGCAGGCACAUAUGCUCACCUUGGCUGUUCCCAGAAGUGCCUAAGCUGCCACAUGCUAUCUACCUGUGUCCUGCUGAGCUGCCUGAGCACAGGGACCAUGUUCCAUCGCACAGGUCAUGCAGAUGGGCAGCAGGUGCCAGGAACCCAAGUGGCAGAAGGUAGAGGUGAGAAAGCCCUGAGAAGCUGGCCCUUCAGGGCUCAUAGGGAGCCAUAGACCGUUUCUGUUCCAUGGGGAGUGCGUGUGCUGGGGACUGCGGAGAGGCAGGAGACCCUCCAGGCCCUUCCUUCAAUGCACACCAUCAGUGCUGUCCUUGGAGUUCUGAGGCUCUGGCUGAAAGAAGAUGCAUCGAUCCAGUUUUAAACCACAGCUAAAUAAGCCUGGGGUUAUAAAUUAAAUAUAACCAAGCAAAGUGCCUCCAGAAACUGCCCCAAGCUUGGUUGUGUUUAGAAAGCUUCCCAGCUCCCUCCAGGCCAUGUGGUCUCUCCAGGUUCUGACUGAGGACUGGAGUUGCUGGCUCCGUUUACUUGGUGCCUGUCAUUUUCUGCUUUGUGAUUUAUUUUGUGCUGGCAUCUUCUACAGCUAUUUAACUUUUCAUGAGUGUGCAUGUCUCAUCUUUUUGCCUAUAUUGCAAAAUGCCUCAGGGGUUGAGACUGCACCAUAUGCUUCAGAAUCAGCAUUUGAUCUCUGUUUUGAAAGGUCCUCUUCUCCCAGGGUCUCACUUUGCGGGCGAAGGACCCUGGCCUGAAAGUUCGAAUGAGUCUCCUAGGCUAAAGGAGGUAUGGGGCAGGGCUGGGCUGGAACUCAGCUCUCCCGAGGCUUAGGUUCCCCAGCACUGUUGAAAAGACUGAACUGCUGCUUUUCCAACUAGGUGAGAGGGGCACACCCCUCAAAGUUAUCACGCACAGUGGAUCAUCUUUCCUUCCUUUAUUAAACAAAAUCAUUUUCACUGAUAAUCGUGCAAUAACCAGUAAUGGUUUCUUGAGUCAUUCUUUAGUUUAAGACAAUAAAUUAUUUAAAAAGAAAAACUUUUAAUUUCAAAUAUAUCAUUAAAUUUAAUAAAUUAUUUCAUGUAUGAAAUAAAGUUUGCGCUUACCAAACAAAAGAUA